GUGCUCGCUUCGGCAGCACAUAUACUAAAAUUGGAACGACACAGAGAAGAUUAACAUGGCCCCUGCGCAAGUAUGACACGCAAAUUUGUGAAGUGUUCCAUAUUUUU
rnacentral:snRNA from 1 species